CAAUCCCAGGACGCUGAGAUCAUGACCUGAGCCGAAGGCAGGUGCUGAGCUGACUGAGCCACCCAGGGGCCGGCCCUGCAUCUCAUGUUUUUGUUUUCUUUUUUAAUACUCUGCCUUCUGCCUUCUCUGUGAACCUCUUUAAUGGCACAUCCCUCAGUAAAUCUCUUGCACAUUUAAUUCUACCUCAGCAUCUGCUGCUCAGAAGAUGUAAACAAGCAUACCUAUCUCAAGUGUAUUUCCAAAGCCUUCCCAGAUUCAGCUCCUCCUUGGAACCUCAUAUCACUUUUAUGGCGCCUGCCUUUAUGGUCUGCACUGAGGCCUCCUAAUACAGUAGGGCAGCUCCUGGAAGACACUCUUGGAGACCAACCCAGGCAAAGCCAAAUGAGAAUGCAUCGGUGAGUCACCAAUGAGAUUGCAUUUAAGAUAUAUAGCCUCAGAGCCAAGACCAGCCUUGUGAAAACAGACUUCAGGACAAUAUGGAACUGGAUAUUGGCCAAGAAGGCUGGAAAACCACCUCUGACCUCCUAAAUAAAGCCAGGCCUUUCAAACUAUAGAAGACCAGUGGGAAGGGGUGUUAGAAAUAAAAUGCACGGCAUAUCAGUUAUCUAAUGCAACCUAACAAAUGCACUAAAGCUUAGUGUUUUAAGAUAAAUUAUGUCUAUGAAUCUGCACAUUGAUUGGACAGUUCUCCUGAUCUCUAUUGGGCUUACUCAUGCAGCUGUCUCAGCUGGUAGGUCAGCUAGAGGCUGGGCUCACCCGGGAUCGUUUGGUAAGCUGGGCCUCUCUCUAUCUUACAUGAUCUUUCAUUUUAGGUUCCUUUAUGGCACAGCCAUUUCAGGCCAGCAUCCCAAGAGGGUGAAAGUGGUAGCCUCAUGAGUCACAUAUCAGCAUGUCCACCACAUUUUAUUAGUCACAAAGACAGUUACUGUAAAGGAGUGGGGAAAUAGACUUUGUCUCU